AAGACUUUAAGUUAAGUAAACUAAAGACCUUCAAAGUCUUAAAUGACCUAUAGUCAAGUCUUG
rnacentral:tRNA from 1 species